CCCCAGCGCCACAAGUGGCAUCCGGAAUUAUUGGGCCUAAAGCGUUCGUAGCCGGCCGGGUAAAUCUUUUGUGAAAUUGUCAGGCUUAACCUGACAGCGUGCAGAAGAGACUGCCCAGCUAGGGACCGGGAGGAGUUGGAGGUAUUCUGUAGGGACCGGUAAAAUGGGAUAAUCUACAGAGGACCACCUGUGGCGAAGGCGUCCAACUAGAACGGCUCCGACGGUGAGGAACGAAAGCCAGGGGAGCAAAACGG
rnacentral:rRNA from 1 species